GCGCCUGUAGCUCAGGGGUUAGAGCACAACGCUUAUAACGUUGGGGUCGGUGGUUCAAUUCCACCCAGGCGCA
rnacentral:tRNA from 1 species